AAGUGACAUGCCACCCUGCGUUGUUCUGAAAC
rnacentral:sRNA from 1 species